AAAACCAAGAGAUAAAGCACAUUUGAAGUAUAACGAUAAAAGUCGCGGAAACAGUUCCUAAUAGAGUGGAACCAUUUAAAGUAAAAACACAAUACCCAAAAUGAGCUUAUUGAGGCGAUUUCUUUUAAACCCAAGAAGUACUUGAAGAAGCAAGCACUUCCCUUAAGCAGAAGAACUCUCGACAAGUUUCAACUCUCCGGUGGUAGUCUGAACGAGAUCGUAGAUACGGAACUCGCAAUUCUUAAAAGAGAGCUGGGGAGGUAAGAAAUCAAUGUCAGCGGCCUUAACCAUUUUCUUCAAAAGGAAUCUGAUGAAGGCACUAUGUGUGAUUACAGCGAUUUGCUGCUGAG